UACGAGGGGGGCGAGCGUUGUUCGGAAUUAUUGGGCGUAAGGGUGCGUAGGCGGUUUGGUAAGUCUUGUGUGAAAUCUCCAGGCUCAACUUGGAGUCUGCACGAGAAACUGCCGGGCUUGAGUGUGGGAGAGGUGAGUGGAAUUCCUGGUGUAGCGGUGAAAUGCGUAGAUAUCAGGAGGAACACCCGUAGCGAAGGCGGCCGACUGGACCACACCUGACGCUGAGGCGCGAAGGCCAGGGGAGCGAACGGG
rnacentral:rRNA from 1 species